rnacentral:tRNA from 1 species
AAGAAAGUAUGGAACCCGGUUAGUACUGCUAAUGCUCACGCUCCGCGGUUAAACUCCGCGGCUUUCUCG